rnacentral:rRNA from 1 species
CCAAUAGCGUAUAUUAAAGUUGUUGCAGUUAAAAAGCUCGUAGUUGAAUUUCGGGAUCAACAUGUCGGUCGUGCCUCUGGUACGUACUGGUAUCGUUGGUUUCUACCUUCUGACGAACCAUGAUGUCAUUAAUUUGGUGUCAUGGGAAAUCAGGACCGUUACUUUGAAAAAAUUAGAGUGUUUAAAGCAGGCACACGCUUGAAUACAUUAGCAUGGAAUAAUGAAAUAGGACGUUUGAUCCUAUUUUGUUGGUUUCUAGGAUCGACGUAAUGAUUAAUAGGGAUAGUUGGGGGCAUUAGUAUUCAAUUGUCAGAGGUGAAAUUCUUGGAUUUAUUGAAGACUAACUACUGCGAAAGCAUUUGCCAAGGAUGUUUUCAUUAAUCAAGAACGAAAGUUAGGGGAUCGAAGACGAUCAGAUACCGUCGUAGUCUUAACCAUAAACUAUGCCGACUAGGGAUCGGAUGAUGUUAAUUUUUUAAUGACUCAUUCGGCGCCUUACG